AUACUUACCUGGACGGGGUCAAUGAACGAUCAAGAAGGUUCAUGGCCUAGGUUAGUGACCUCCAUUGCACUCAGGAGGGGUGCUGGCCUAAGAUAUCCCCAAGUGGGAUAGUCUACGUCAUAAUUUGUUGCCGAGGGGGUACGCGUUCGCGCGGCCCUUG
rnacentral:snRNA from 1 species